UUACAGGCCAGGAAACCAGCCCAGAGAGGGGCAACAACAUGGCCACUCCAGUUCAGCCAGUGUCCUGCCCCUCCUGACUUUCAGGCUGCUACACUCUGCCCCUCCUGCUGGACAGACUAAGUGGUGGAGGAAGAUGCUAAUUGGCUCAGAGAUCCAGUCCCACCUUUUACCCAGGGGAGAACUCAGGGUUAGAGAAGCCAGCGAGGGCAGAAGCGCCGGCAGUGCUGAGCGGGAGUCACGGCUGAGGCAACUGGGAUCAGAUGCAGAAGCCCAUGCUCCGAGGGAAUGGAGGGCAUACAAGGCUGAUAGAAGACCUCCUUGCAGAUCUGGUGCCUCAGAGUGACAGGCCAAUUUCCUCACAUCUCAUAGAGGCCCCUGGGAAGCCUUUCCUUACCAACGGACUAUUAUUGCACACUAAGUGAUGGAAAUGGACAUUAAACAUACUGCUUUGGAUCAGAGGCAAUGAGGUCUGCCAUCUCAGAGGGUGAUAGAGGUAUUCGCUCCUCCGGGAACACUAUCUACUCCACAACAGGGACUCCACCAAUUCACUUCCCGAAUCUUCCUUGACCACGUCAAGUGUUUGGAAAUGGACAUUAAAAAUACAGAUUUUGAUGAGAGGUAC
rnacentral:lncRNA from 1 species